GUCCGGGUGCUCCGCGGGGGGAGCCUGCCCUCCCGGGGCGGGUUCCUCUUUGGGGGCGGUGUCCUUGGGCGGCUCAGGCUGCCGGCCGGGCGC
rnacentral:tRNA from 1 species